GCAACAUUGACAUGGUCACAACCGAACGACCAACAUGAAUCCAGGCUGAUUGGAGUCAAAAGGCUGUCUUUCAAUAACAUUAAUAAAAAAAAAACGAAAUCGUUUAUUUUACUACACGUAAGCCAUUAGAAAUCGACGAUUACAUAUCUUCUAUAGAAACACCCAAAGCUAAUAUACUUUCAACCUAUUCUUGUUUCCUAGGCUUCACUCGCUUUGUCAAAUUGAGAAAGAGUAUAAUAGGAUGAGAAAGUUCCAAACAGGAAUUUUAAAAUCCUGAGGAAACCGUCACAAAGUAUGUACAACCCCGGGGCGGAGGAUCAACACAAGCUUGAGGGAGGAAUUUCGUACGCAUUCAAAUGUGAUUUAUGUGAAGAGGAUAUUUCGUACCGCCUCAAUCUGUCGUUGGAAUAUUUCGUGCCCUAUAUUCUCCGCCCCAGGUUGUACAUACUUUAAUUACCAAUUCGGUCUCAAACAGGACAAAGGCAUAUGGUGAAUUACGAAACUGAUAGUCGUGCCCAACUUGGCUUACAACAAUGGCCUACAACUGGCAGUUGCGCCCAGUCAAACGAGAACAAGAGUUGCAUGAGAGUUGACUGGACAUUACUACGCGUAGCAGUCAAACGACCCAAAGCUCUCAUAAAAAUUAGAACCGAUGGAUGAUGAGAGUGCACAUAGGCGUACGAGACAGGGAGCAGAGGACAACUUUAUUACAAUCCUCCGUAAAAAUUGGGGCAAACUUCAGCUGCCCCCUCCUCAACCCCGUACGCUUAUGAG